GUCCGGCCCGCCCGCAGGCCAGCUUCUCUCGGGAGCCUCCACCCAGGCGCAUGGCUCCAUGAAGCAAGAGGAGGAGGCAGAGCGCGAGAGAUCCCGUCCGCCCCAGCCGCGUCUGGGCCAGGAGAAAAGCAAAACCAUAUUCCUGCUGCUGUCAGUUUUGAUGCACUGAGAAAACUUCAGAGACCUAAGCUUUUUCCAGAGAAGAGAAGCUUUACUGGUGUUCCAGCCCUAAGAAACUUAAAUCCUCAGUGUGACACAACUCAGUCCUUCUACUGCAGCAGCUCUUUUAUAAAAGCCUCCCAAAGCUCCAAGAAGGAACAAAGAAUGUGACCCAGUAAGCUCACACCAUAAGUCUAUAUUGCAGAAACCUUUGUUCAACAAAACUGCAGAUGCUCUGUUGAAUCCACUGGAGAUUGUCCUGAUACUAAGGACAAGUAUGCUCAUAUGACAUUAACAGACAAGACACUUUUCAGAAAGACAGACAGCUCUUCAAUCUUCAAGGGAACUGUGGAAGUAAACCAGGGGUGACAUGGAUUAUCAAAUAUUGUGGAUCAGGUUGUUCUUUUGGGCCACAUCUAAGAAAUCUUUGUCUAGCCAAAAGCCACAAAUAAUUUCUCAUUUUUUGGCUUCUGGAAGAUGUACAGUUAAAUGUUAUAUUUGGGACUGUUAUCUAAUUUGAUUAAAUUGCACUCUACAAUAUGAUAUUUGAAUUGAUGAAAAAUUAGUAAAUGUUAAUAUUUUUUAAAGUA
rnacentral:lncRNA from 1 species